AACCUGCGGAAGGAUCAUUAAUGAAUGAAGGGGUUUCGCGCCCGUGGUGGCUUCAUUCCCGCCUGACUCUUCACCCUGUGUUUACAUAUAUUUGUUGCUUUGGCGGGCCGUGAAAGCCUUUUCCCGCCACCCUUAACCUUCCGGCUGGGCCCGGCAAGCGCCCGUCAGUAGCCCAUCAAUAUCCUUUAUAUCAGUGAUGUCCGAGUAUCAAAAUAAAUAAAUAAAAACUUUCAACAACGGAUCUCUUGGUUCUGGCAUCGAUGAAGAACGCAGCGAAAUGCGAUAAGUAAUGUGAAUUGCAGAAUUCAGUGAAUCAUCGAAUCUUUGAACGCACAUUGCGCCCCUCGGUAUUCCGGGGGGCAUGCCUGUUCGAGCGUCAUUGCACCCCUCAAGCGUAGCUUGGUAUUGAGCCCUCGCCGCUCCGGCGGGCCCGAAAGUCAGUGGCGGUCCCGUGUGACUUCGAGCGUAGUAAACAAAUCUCCCGCUUUGGAGGCUCACGCGGCGACCGGCCAGAACGCCCAACUUUUCAAUGAUUGACC
rnacentral:rRNA from 1 species